CUCUUCCCCUGCAGCCGAUCCCUUACUGGCUCUACAAACUGCACGGCCUGAACAUCAACUACAACUGUGAGAUCUGUGGAAACUACACCUACAGAGGACCCAAGGCCUUCCAGAGGCACUUUGCAGAGUGGCGGCAUGCACAUGGAAUGCGCUGCCUAGGAAUCCCCAACACGGCUCAUUUCGCUAAUGUCACACAGAUAGAGGACGCCGUCUCCUUGUGGGCGAAGCUAAAGUCCCAGAAGGCGUCGGAGCGGUGGCAGCCGGACACAGAGGAGGAGUACGAGGACUCCAUUGGAAAUGUGGUCAACAAGAAGACGUACGAGGAUCUGAAGAGACAGGGCCUGCUGUAGACGGACAGCACGACUCUGAGAUGCUUCCUUUUUAAAAAAAAUCUAUUUACUCCUGUUGUUUUAUGUCUUAAGUAGUUCUGUUAUUUUCCAGACAACUUUUCUCCAGUUUGUAACAUGUGAACCUCUGAUGAUUUCAAUAAACCGAGGACUUUGAGUCCCUGUCAUUCCUAAA